UGGGGAAUUUUGGACAAUGGACGCAAGUCUGAUCCAGCCAUGCCGCGUGCGGGAAGAAGGCCUUCGGGUUGUAAACCGCUUUUGUACGGAACGAAAAGGCUCUGGUUAAUACCUGGGGCUCAUGACGGUACCGUAAGAAUAAGCACCGGCUAACUACGUGCCAGCAGCCGCGGUAAUACGUAGGGUGCAAGCGUUAAUCGGAAUUACUGGGCGUAAAGCGUGCGCAGGCGGUUAUGUAAGACAGAUGUUAAAUCCCCGGGCUCAACCUGGGACCUGCAUUUGUGACUGUAUAGCUAGAGUACGGCAGAGGGAGGUGAAAUUCCGCGUGUAGCAGUGAAAUGCGUAGAUAUGCGGAGGAACACCGAUAGAGAAGGCAGCCUCCUGGGCCAGUACUGACGCUCAUGCACGAAAGCGUGGGGAGCAAACA
rnacentral:rRNA from 1 species